AGCAGCCGCGGUAAUUCCAGCUCCAAUAGCGUAUAUUAAAGUUGUUGCAGUUAAAAGCUCGUAGUUGAAUUUCGGGAUCAUCAGGUUGGUCGUGCCUCUGGUAUGUACUGAUUUCGAUGGUUCCUCCUUCUUGAAGGGCCGUAAUGCCAUUAAUUUGGUGUUGCGGGGAAUCAGGACUGUUACUUUGAAAAAUUGAGUGUUUAAAGCAGGCAAUCGCUUGAAUACAUUAGCAUGGAAUAAUGAAAUGGGACGUUCGAUCCUAUUUUGUUGGUUUC
rnacentral:misc_RNA from 1 species